CCUACGGGUGGCAGCAGUGAGGAAUAUUGGUCAAUGGACGAGAGUCUGAACCAGCCAAGUAGCGUGAAGGAUGACUGCCCUAUGGGUUGUAAACUUCUUUUAUAUGGGAAUAAAAUGUUCCACGUGUGGGAUUUUGUAUGUACCAUAUGAAUAAGGCUAGGCUAACGCCGUGCCAGCAGCCGCGGUAAGACGGAGGAUCCGAGCGUUAUCCGGAUUUAUUGGGUUUAAAGGGAGCGUAGGUGGAUUGUUAAGUCAGUUGUGAUAGUUUGCGGCUCAACCGUAAAAUUGAAGUUGAAACUGGCAGUCUUGAGUACAGUAGAGGUGGGCGGAAUUCGUGGUGUAGCGGUGAAAUGCUUAGAUAUCACGAAGAACUCCGAUUGCGAAGGCAGUUCACUGGACUGCAACUGACACUGAGGCUCGAAAGUGUGGGUAUCAAACAGGAUUAGAUACCCGGGUAGUC
rnacentral:rRNA from 1 species